AUGCCUCCUCAUCGCAACGUCAACACAUCAUUGAACACACACGUCAACAACGACACCGCAACGACAACUCAGAAAUCACGCAGAAGAAGAAGAAGGAAGUAUCGUAAGAAAACGACAGAAUCAAAGACGAAAUACCUCGAAUAUAUUUUGAAUCUCUGGUUUUCUGCUUCUCGGUGUCGCCAUUGA